rnacentral:rRNA from 1 species
UACGGAGGGUGCGAGCGUUGUUCGGAAUUAUUGGGCGUAAAGCGCACGUAGGCGGCCGGGUAAGUCUCACUGUGAAAGCCCGGGGCUCAACCCCGGGAGGCCAGGGGAUACUGCUCGGCUGGAGACAGGCAGAGGCUGGUGGAAUUCCGGGUGUAGCGGUGGAAUGCGUAGAGAUCCGGAGGAACAUCUGAGGCGAAGGCGGCCAGCUGGGCCUGAUCUGACGCUGAGGUGCGAAAGCGUGGGGAGCGAACAGG